rnacentral:rRNA from 1 species
UACAGAGGGGGCAAGCGUUGUUCGGAAUUACUGGGCGUAAAGGGCGCGUAGGCGGCCUGUUAAGUCGAACGUGAAAUCCCCGGGCUCAACCCGGGAACUGCGUCCGAUACUGGCAGGCUUGAAUCCGGGAGAGGGAUGCGGAAUUCCAGGUGUAGCGGUGAAAUGCGUAGAUAUCUGGAGGAACACCGGUGGCGAAGGCGCAUCCUGGACCGGCAUUG